AGUGCCCUCUUUAGCCUUUUGUUUACUGCUAUUUAGCUCUUUUUUUAGAUGUUUUUUUUUAGCUAGUCUGGUAACUAGCUUGUUUCCACGUUUUUUCCACAUCAAAAAGCCCUCUGGAGUUUCACUUUUUAAUUCUUCUUGGUGCAAGCAACGCAGAUUAGUUUUUUCAUCGCUACCUACAAGUGUCCUCUGAAGAAAGAGGAUUCGGUUCUACAGCAAUGGCUGCAUUUGUUUGCAUCAUUAGGUGAUCGUGCAAAGAGCUGGGAUAACGUGGCUGUGUUAGUUGACGAAACUAUUAAACCACAAGCUCCGUGUAGCCCAUUCUUACAGACCCCAACACGCCAGAACAUUAAACCAAAGGCCACUCUAAUAAGGAAUAAGAACACAGCAAACAGACAAUCAGCCCCUGAACAAAGGAUCCGCAAGGGCGAGGGCUACUCGCUCUCCCAUGUGGCUGAAAUCAAUCCUGUUGAAAG